rnacentral:rRNA from 1 species
GACGUAGGGCGCGAGCGUUGUCCGGAUUUAUUGGGCGUAAAGAGCUCGUAGGCGGCUCAUCGCGUCUGCCGUGAAAACCUGUGGCUCAACUACAGGCUUGCGGUUGAUACGGGUGGGCUGGAGUUCGGUAGGGGAGACUGGAAUUCCUGGUGUAGCGGUGAAAUGCGCAGAUAUCAGAAGGAACACCGGUGGCGAAGGCGGGUCUCUGGGCCGAUACUGACGCUGAGGAGCGAAAGCGUGGGGAGCGAACAGG